rnacentral:rRNA from 1 species
CUACCCGGGUAUCUAAUCCUGUUUGCUCCCCACGCUUUCGCGCCUUAGCGUCAGUAUCGAGCCAGUAAGUCGCCUUCGCCACUGGUGUUCUUACGAAUAUCUACGAAUUUCACCUCUACACUCGUAAUUCCACUUACCUCUCUCGAUCUCUAGUUCCACAGUAUCAAAUGCACCUCCUAGGUUAAGCCUAGGGCUUUCACAUCUGACUUAUGGUACCGCCUACACGCCCUUUACGCCCAGUAAUUCCGAACAACGCUAGCUCCCCUCGUAUUACCGCGGCUGCUGGCAC